rnacentral:rRNA from 1 species
UUGCAGUUAAAAAGCUCGUAGUUGGAUUUCUGGGAGCGUGCCAAUGUCCGCCUUGUGCGAGCGCAGUGGCGCGCUUCCAUCCUUCGGUUAACGCCUCUUGGCAUUCACUUGCUGGUGGCGGGCUCAGAUAUUUUACCUUGAGAAAAUUAGAGUGUUUCAGGCAGGCUAAGCCGGAAUACAUUAGCAUGGAAUAAUGGAAUAGGACUACGGUCUCUUUGUUGGUUUGAGGGACUGCAGUAAUGAUUAAUAGGGAUAGUUGGGGGCAUUAGUAUUUAAUUGUCAGAGGUGGAAUUCUC